rnacentral:rRNA from 1 species
AUGGCAUGGCGCGUGCUAUACAUGCAGUCGAGCGAAUGGAUUGAGAGCUUGCUCUCAAGAAGUUAGCGGCGGACGGGUGAGUAACACGUGGGUAACCUGCCCAUAAGACUGGGAUAACUCCGGGAAACCGGGGCUAAUACCGGAUAACAUUUUGAACUGCAUGGUUCGAAAUUGAAAGGCGGCUUCGGCUGUCACUUAUGGAUGGACCCGCGUCGCAUUAGCUAGUUGGUGAGGUAACGGCUCACCAAGGCAACGAUGCGUAGCCGACCUGAGAGGGUGAUCGGCCACACUGGGACUGAGACACGGCCCAGACUCCUACGGGAGGCAGCAGUAGGGAAUCUUCCGCAAUGGACGAAAGUCUGACGGAGCAACGCCGCGUGAGUGAUGAAGGCUUUCGGGUCGUAAAACUCUGUUGUUAGGGAAGAACAAGUGCUAGUUGAAUAAGCUGGCACCUUGACGGUACCUAACCAGAAAGCCACGGCUAACUACGUGCCAGCAGCCGCGGUAAUACGUAGGUGGCAAGCGUUAUCCGGAAUUAUUGGGCGUAAAGCGCGCGCAGGUGGUUUCUUAAGUCUGAUGUGAAAGCCCACGGCUCAACCGUGGAGGGUCAUUGGAAACUGGGAGACUUGAGUGCAGAAGAGGAAAGUGGAAUUCCAUGUGUAGCGGUGAAAUGCGUAAAGAUAUGGA